rnacentral:rRNA from 1 species
AGUGUAGAGGUGAAAUUCGUAAAUAUUAGGAGGAACACCAGUGGCGAGGGCGUCUAUCUGGUUCAAAUCUGACGCUGAGGCGCGAAGGCGUGGGGAGCAAACAGGAUUAGAUACCUUGGUAGUCCACGCUGUAAACGAUGAAUGUUAAAUAUGGGAAGUUUUACUUUCUGUAUUACAGCUAACGCGUUAAACAUUCCGCCUGGGGACUACGGUCGCAAGAUUAAAACUCAAAGGAAUUGACGGGGACCCGCACAAGCGGUGGAGCAUGUGGUUUAAUUCGAUGCAACGCGAAAAACCUUACCACUCCUUGACAUGGAAAUUAUACCUAUUCGAAGGGAUAGGGUCGGUUCGUCCGGGUUUCACACAGGUGUUGCAUGGCUGUCGUCAGCUCGUGUCGUGAGAUGUUGGGUUAAGUCCCGCAACGAGCGCAACCCUCAUCCUUAGUUACCAUCAGGUAAUGCUGGGGACUUUAAGGAAACUGCCAGUGAUAAACUGGAGGAAGGUGGGGAUGAUGUCAAGUCAUCAUGGCCCUUAUGGAGUGGGCUACACACGUGCUACAAUGGUGGCUACAAUGGGCUGCAAAGUCGCGAGGCUAAGCUAAUCCCUUAAAAGCCAUCUCAGUUCGGAUUGUACUCUGCAACUCGAGUGCAUGAAGUUGGAAUCGCUAGUAAUCGUGGAUCAGCACGCCACGGUGAAUACGUUCUCGGGUCUUGUACACACUGCCCGUCACGCCAUGGGAAUUGGUUUCACUCGAAGCUAACGACCUAACCGCAAGGAGGGAGUUAUUUAAAGUGGGAUCGGUGACUGGGGUGAAGUCGUAACAAGGUAGCAGUAGGGGAAUCUGCGGCUGGAUCA